rnacentral:rRNA from 1 species
UUUAACUGAGCGUUCAGUUACUUGACGUAGACCCGAAACCGGGCGACCUACCCAUGAGCAGGAUGAAGCGAAAGUAAAAUUUCGUGGAGGUCCGAACCCACGAGCGUUGAAAAGCUCGGGGAUGACUUGUGGGUAGCGGUGAAAUUCCAAUCGAGCCCGGAGAUAGCUGGUUCUCCCCGAAAUAGCUUUAGGGCUAGCCUCAAGGUGAGAGAUACGGAGGUAGAGCACUGAAUGUCCUAGGGGGUAUUGCACCUACCGAAGACUAUCAAACUCCGAAUGCCGUCAUCUUAUACUUGGGAGUCAGACUGUGGGUGAUAAGAUUCAUAGUCGAAAGGGCAACAGCCCAGAUCGUCAGCUAAGGUCCCUAAAUGUAAGUUAAGUGGUAAAGGAUGUGGGAUUGCACAGACAACCAGGAUGUUGGCUUAGAAGCAGCCACUCAUUCAAAGAGUGCGUAAUAGCUCACUGGUCGAGUGAUCCUGCGCCGAAGAUUUCCGGGGCUAAAACUUACUACCGAAGCUACGGCAUCAGUAAUGAUGGGUAGGGGAGCUUCCCAUACGGGUUGAAGCAUGACCGUAAGGACAUGUGGACAGUAUGGGAGUGAGAAUGUUGGCAUGAGUAGCGAGAUGUGGGUGAGAAUCCCACAGGCCGUAAACCCAAGGUUUCCAGGGGAAGGUUCGUCCGCCCUGGGUUAGUCGGGACCUAAGCUGAGGCCGAAAGGCGUAGGUGAUGGACAACAGGUUGAUAUUCCUGUACUACCGAUAACCGUUUGAGAGAAGGGAUGACACAGUAGGAUAAGCUAAGCACACUGUUGGUUAUGUGUGCCCAAGCAUUGAGGCAGUCAAAGUAGGCAAAUCCGCUUUGAUAAUGCUGGGAUGUGAUGGGGAGCGAAAUUUAGUAGCGAAGUAGCUGAUUUCACACUGUCAAGAAAAGUCUCUAUCGAGGUUAAAGGUACCCGUACCGCAAACCGACACAGGUGGGUGAGGAGAGUAUCCUAAGGCCAGCGAGAGAACUGUUGUUAAGGAACUCGGCAAA